ACACAAUUGAAAAAGAAUAGAGGUUUUCUACCAUUUUUAAUUCCUUUAUUGAUUGCAGCAGAAAAAGCUGUAGCUACUGGUGCUUUGGCAGAUGCUUCUGGAUAUGGAGUUAAAAAAGCUUUAGACAAAAUAUCUGGAUCAAGUUGUGGUAAAAAAACGAGGAGGUCUCAUUCCAUUUCCUAUGAUUCUACCAUAUUUAAAAUGAGGGAAAGGAGUAAUUGAGAAUUGGGAAUAUCCAAAGUCUCAAUAGAUGAAAACAUGAAAAAUGAAAGGAUUUAGCAGUACAUAUACGAUCGAUCUUUUAUCUAAACAAAUUAAGACUUUUGAGAAUGGAAUUAUAGAUUUAGAUAUUUCAACAGGGAAAGGAACUCAUUGGGUUUGCUAUUAUAAUGAUCCUAAAUAUCCAUUUAUUGAAUAUUUUGAUCUGUUUGGUGAAUAUACUCUAAGAAAAAUAAAAAUUAAAAAAGAAAUUAUACCUAAAGAAAUUGAAAAAUAUCUUAAAA
rnacentral:lncRNA from 1 species